rnacentral:misc_RNA from 1 species
UUGACAAUAUCCUAAAAGUUUUUAUUUAGAUAAAGGUUUCGUUUUUCACCAGAAUUCAGAAAAUUUAAUAAAGUUCUCACCCCUUCAGUUUUGGCUGUGUGGGCUUUUCAAAAUAAAGAAUUUAGAAUCCAACGGAAGACAACUGACCAAAUGAUGCAGACUACAGGCUCCAAUUUAAGACCUCUUACCAACAAGUAAUCAACUCCUCCACACACAAAUUCCACAGCAGCAAUUAUCCUGCUUCCUUAAUAAAACACCAUUGUCAAUACAAAACAAUAAAACAAAGACAAUACCAAACACCUAUACGUCCCAUAAUAUAUUAGAACUUAAAAGACAGUAAUUGCAAAACCUUAUUUUUUUUUGUUUUUUCUUGGACACUACUUGCCUCGGGUGAACAAACAUCAAUAAUCUUGCACUAACAAGAUCAUCACAACCCAUAGAUUUGCAGGAAGGCUGCUGUAGAAACUAAUGUUGUUACCAGAAAGGAAACUGGCUGGUGCAUUGUAACAUUUCAGAGGAGUCCUCUUCUUCUCUUGUAGUCACUAACAGUCAAAGUCAAAGCAUGCCUCCUCCCAUCAUUCUCAGGGACCCGGCAUCCAACAGUUGCCUCUAUCCGUUGUUUCCUCGCCAUGAACCCUGCCUGAGCUCCCUGCGCUCCACCAAAUUUCUGAAGUGCAGUUAAUGAGAAUGGAAGCUCAAAAUCAUGAAGUGUAUUUGACUCUGUGCCUUGAUCCACAGGAGCAGCUGUAUCAACCAACUUCCCUGCAUCAGCUGCUGCUUCCAGGGCUGCCGCUGUAGCAGCCAUGCCAGUCUCGGCUAUAACCCCAGCUGCUGCUCCAUUACCGUUUGCAACCACCACUGUGCCAUUGGCCUCAUUAUUGGUUGAUUCAGCUGCAUCCUCUCCAGCAGGCUUUGACAUAUAGUAAUUCCUUGACCUAGUCCAUCUUCUUGAAAAUGGAUCAUACCCAGCCUCACCUGCUUUCAGACUAGUGUUCAAAGGUUUCAAUCCUGAUGCAUUUCUGAAAUUCUCAGCUCUGUUCUUUCUAUUCAUCUCUGCCAACCUAAUAGCCUUCUUAUCUUUUUCCUGAGUUUGCCGAGAUGCCUCCAGUUCCUGAAUUCUAGCCCUUAUUCUCUCCACCUCUGCAUCAUCUUGCUUACUUUGUGCUACUUCCAACUCCCUCCUCAAUCGGUCUUUCUCAGCAGCAACAUUUAAUGGCCUUGACGAGGCAGAUUUUUUCUCCUGCAACAUUUGCUUCACAGUAGCCGCUGAAUAGACAAAUGUAUUUGUCUUUUGUAUGGCCUCCUUCUUUUCCAUAAUAUCCUGUUUUGUUGGCAUCCGCCCACCACUACGUUCCACUUCCCUCAUCCACUGUUUAUACUCCUCCUCAGUAGGUGCAGAGUCAGAAACCAUAGCCAUCUGCCACCUAGCAGCAGAGCUUUCAUUGCCCCAAACAACAUUCAGAUAUUUAUAUGUUGUUUUAUUCUCCAGUUUGUAUUGGCGGUCAGGGUCUGCAGCAUCAACAUUCCGGACCAAGCAGAGCCUGUAGAUUGGCCCAGACUUUGACCUCCCAAUCCCAACCCUCACAAAGCAACCCACAAUCAACUCUUCAAACCAUGGUUCCAUAAACCAUUUAGCAAGUUUUGACCUCCGGAUCGUGAUUUCCUUUAUGUCAUCAAACGUUGGACCCUCAGACCCCGGAUCCCUGUCCUCAUCACUGUCUCCCAUUCCACCAUCACCUGUUGACCCUUCAUCUUCACUAUGAGACCUGCUUUCACUCUCACUGCUAGAGCUACUCAGGCUUGCUGAAGUGAAGUGUUUUCGCUUGAUUGGCGAUAAACCACGACCACCUGAAGUUCCUCUAGAAACAUCCCUCAUCUUACGGUGAGCUUCUGGGUCCUGCUGCUUCAAACGUUUAGCUUUCAAUUCAUUCAAUGCAUCAUCUUUGGCAGCUGCCCUGUCUGCAGAUCUAGCCGAUGUGCGCACACCACGAGAUGAUGGAAGAGGUGGAGUCUCUUUUCUGGAUCGAGUUGGCCUCUCGCUGUCCCGUUUUGAUCUAAUUCUCUCAGUUAAGUUCUUAUCACCUUUUUUGUCUGCCCGUUCAGAUAAUAUCAUCUCCCUCUCAAGUUCACUCAUCUGAGCAAGCUUCCUCCGAUCAUCCUCGUACUUGUAAAGAUCAUCACCAACAUCUGAUUCAUCACUGCUAUCACCCUCACGAUCAGAACCCCCAUCAUCAUAGUCACCAUCAUCCUGGCUACCCUGAUCAUCAUCUCUUUCAGUGGGGUCCAGUCUCUUCUUCAAAGGAACUUGAGAUCCAGAUGGCUUCCUGCCUGCAUAGCCAUGGUCAUCAUCAGAAUCAUCAUCUCUAAAGUCACUUCCACCAUCAGAAUAUGAACCCUCACAUCGCCUCCUAGAUGGUGGAAUUGCAUUUCUGUUUCUUCCUGCUGUACAAGUUCUUCCGGCUGCCUCCAGGAGCAAAUUUUCCAAGUCUGCCAUGAUUCACAGCCACUUCCUAUAUGUUAUGAUAACUGGUACAACCUCCUGAUUAAGUCUCCAAGUGUUAAUCAACUAGUUCACCUGUCAACAGUAAAAAGCAGAUUCUUUAUGCAGAAUUUACAUAGUAAUGUGUUCAUAAAUAGUAUAAACAACUAAAAUCCUCACAUAUGCAACUUUUUCGCACUAGAUGCAAAAAAUAUUAUCAUAAGCAUUUUUCUCCCUCAAUAACAUCCGACAAAACAAUCAAGGUUACAUUCCAUUCAUUGAGCUCAACAAGGAACAUUGAUUAAAUGGCUGAUCAUGCAAACAUACAACUUCUGUCUCAGGCAACCAUCUGCAUCUUAGUAACCUGAUGUAGCACCAGAAAGACCAAAGGCAAACAAGGAACGAAUCCUUAAGGGAAAAGAGAACUAAUUCUCAAAUUAUAUUGAUCUCAAAUAACAAUCAUAUCAAAGUCUCAAACUAAUAAUAACAGAAACCCUAGGUCCUAUAUAUAGUAUUAGUAUCCUACUAGCUUUAAUAUUGAACCUAGUUAGGAAGAAUCAAAUCAUAUCCUAAUUAGGAAUCCCAAAUCCACAAAAUUCCUGAAUAAUUAAAAUACUUUCAUCAUCAUCAAAACAACAACAACAACAACA